GCCAUGUAUAUGGUUUCAUUCUCUCUGAAUGGAGACAAACUUGCAAGUAAAAUGUGCAACAUGCUGGUAGAUGAUGGCACUGCUCAUUUGGUGUUAAUGUGGCCACAUACCUGAAAACCCAAGCUAGCCAUCCAGGAUAUAUAGUUCAUUCGACAAACAACUACAUAGCUGCUUGUGAGGAGAGACUUGGGCUUCUCAUGCUAUACAACAAAAGCAGCUUGGUGGGAGUUCAUUGGGGAGCCUGAUUCAGCACAUCAUGGAGACGUCCAACCAGGGGAUGAUAGAAUUCAGAUUUUGUUUGUUUCAUAAGCUUUUCUAAGAUAGAUCUACAUUGUGUUACUAAUUUGUAAGCUUCACAUGUUGUCCGAGUUUGAUGAGAAAAAAAAGGAAGUUCUCGGAAGUGUGUUUGGUUGGCCAUAUAAUAGGCGUCGAAGAAAGCCACAACAAGAUCUGAUCAGUGUAGGAGGUUCCUUUUCAUGCCACCAAGGUCUUUACAUUGAGGUUAAAUAAGUUGAUACCUUUGUAUUUUGGCAAUCCUAUUCCUAGGAAUAUGUUAAUCUAGUUUAUAUACAACUUUAAAGGGAUGCGAAUGGUGGCCGUCGCUAAAAAGCAUGCCGCGGCCAUGGUUUGCAUGUGUAGUGUUAUGGUGAAAGUAGACUCGCUCCACUGCGUCGUGCAUGGAAGGCUCGCGGUCGGCCGGGGCACAUCAUGUCAAUUAUGAUAUUGCAAGGCUGUCUGCUUGCUCCUGAAGAGAGGAUCAAAAGAGAACAAUUGAAUGGAGAAUAGCUGUUCAAAAGGGACAUCUAGAGAGGAAGGUAUCAUUAGCUGUUCAAGGGACGGGAGGCAAGGCAGUCAGAGAAAGAGCAUGUACAAUCAUAUGUACACACAUGGAUGACUUAGACAUGAAUGUUUGUGAACUUGUAUUCUUUCACAUGUAGAUUUAUUUAUUACUUUUAUGAUUUAUUUUAGUUUUAAUAUUAUGUGUAGCAUACAUGGUCAUAUACAAUUAUCUGAGACUUAAAUCAUGGAAAAAUACUAUUGUUUGGUU